CCUGAUAUAAAAUAAUCCGGAAAUAUUUACAAAUAAAGCAUAAACAAAAUGAAAGUGAUAGCAACACGAUUACCUUUGAUAAUGUGUUUUUUAUACAUAUAAGAAUACGUCUACAUGGGUUGAAAUCUCAGAAAAUAUUAAGCUAUCCACAAAUUCCUGAAAAUAAAUUAGCCGUGAUUUGCGGAAAAAAUGUUCUUAAUUAUUUUUCCCACAUGAUGUCCUUUCAGGUUCCAGGAAACAGCACGGGCAUGUAUUAGGCAUAAUAAGUAAUUAUAAAAAUAUGAG